rnacentral:tRNA from 1 species
UUUGCAACAUGGAUGAACCUCGAUGUCAUUAUGCUAAGUGAAACAAGCCAGACACAGCAAGAAAAAUACUGCAUGAUCUCUUAUGUGGAUUCUAAAAAAGUCAAAUACAUAGAAGCAGAGUAGAACAGUGGUUACCAGGGGUGGAGACGUAUGGAAAUGGUUAAGAUGUUGGUCAAAGGAUACAAAGUUGCAGUUCUAUAGGAUGAAUAAGUCUAGAGAUGUAAUGCAUAGCAUAACUAUAGUUAAUACUGCAUUGUGCAUUGGAAACUUGCGGAGAGUACAUUUCAUGCGCUCUCACCACUUACACAAAAUAGUAACUGUGAAGAGAUGUAUUAUGUUAAUUAGCUUGACUGUAGAAAUCAUUUCACUGUGUACAUGUAUCAAAACAUCAUGUUGUACACCUUAAAUAUAUAGUUUUUAUUUUUAAAACACUGUUUGGGAUUAAAAGCCCAGCUAAUUCUGCCUUAAUAUCUCAUUCUUAUCCACAAUGUCCACCCAUAAGAAAGACGCCCGAUACUCCGUGUAAACACACACUCCCCAUCUCCCAUACAAAUUUACCUUCUAGAGAGAGCCCUUUUCCCCAAACUCUCCUCUCAAAACACUCUGAAGCACAAGGUCUUUAGCCUAGUUAGACAUUUUCUGAAAAACUUAGUUUAACUCAGCGUAGAGACACCAUGAAUUUCAGAGACCCAGUCCUGGGCCUGCUUCAGUUGCUUUAGCCUAGAGUUUCAACUCCCAGGUCCCGGGGAGGGAUGCUCCAAGGAAGAAAUAGAGGCCCUAUUCCAGGGCUGUUUCUCGCAGACUAGCCACAGAAAAUGCAGCCCAGCGCCACUUCCUUUCAGUAGCAACACGUUUCCAACACGUUUGUUAAGCGGGAACGGAAGUGAGCGGAAAGGAAUGCGUUUGGUAAAUCCCACUUUAAGGAUUUCGUAAUCCUCCCAGGGAUUCCCACCACCCGCACUCCACUCGCAGACUGCGGGCCUUCCUCCGACGCUGGGAGAAGGACCCUGGGAGAGGCAAGGGAAGGGCUCCGGAACCAGCGCAGCAGCGGGACGCUAGCCCGCCCACACGGCGGCCACUUGAAGGACCGGUGGCUCCCGUGGAGACCGCAGCGGAACCCAGUCCGCCUUCGCACGCGUCCGGGGGAGAAGCGGCCCCAGGACUAAGGGCGCGCGCCCGAGGAACCGGUGCUGUGACGACCAGAGCAAACACGCCGGAUGUUCCUGUGUAGGCUGUGUAAGGAGUGACCGGAAGUAGAAACUGGGUGCUCCAGUGGCGCAAUCGGUUAGCGCGCGGUACUUAUAUGGCAGUAUGUGUGCGAGUGAUGCCGAGGUUGUGAGUUCGAGCCUCACCUGGAGCAUUGUUUUCCAACCCAAAAUAGCAUUACUUGAAGUGCCUUUCCCCCUGUAAUCCGACUCCAUCGUCUUUAACGUGUUUGGAAUUGUGUACACAGUUUAUUGUUAUUGGUUUCCUUAGCCUUUUUAGAACCAAGCAACGCCAAUUACCAACAAAAUCCGUUGCGCCGCAGUGAGUUAGCUACCUUCUAUCUCCACUUUGUUCUGCACGUCGAUCUCAGCCCAGGCAGUAAGAAAACAUAUCAGCUUCCACUUUUACCUUUAAGGAGAAGCCAGCUCCCAUGUUAAGAAGUUCAAAUACCUAGAGACUGCGAUGGUUUGCAGAGGCUCAAGCUAACCACAUGGAAAGACAUGGAGAGAUAUUCCUUGCCAACCCUCAACUACUCCAACUAUUCUAAGACAUCAAACCUAAAAACAAACCGCAGGUCACCCACCGGUCUGAAGAGGAGGAUGAGAGACAAAGAAAAAAGUUGUCUGGCUGCCUCUGCUGUCUACAGAUUGAAGAAGAUCCAUCCAGCUGAGCCCAGCCUAGACCAGCUGACUUCUCCAAUAAGCCUGUAUGAAAUAAAUGCUUAUUGUUAUGUGACCUUGAGCUUUGAAGAUAGUUUGUUAUGCAAUAAUUGUUGAUUCUUUCACCCUGUCUUUGUUGAACUGUUAUAGACGUCUUAAUAGGAGUUCACAAUUCAG